AUCCAGCUGACAAGUCCCAAAUAGGACGAAACGCACCUUCUGGAU
rnacentral:hammerhead_ribozyme from 1 species